rnacentral:lncRNA from 1 species
GGAUAAUGGAGAUAAGGGAGGGAGAAGGUGAAAUAAUGAUGGGGGAGACAGGGUGUUAGGAACAUUUUCACGCUUUAUGAUUUUCUUUUUCUUUUUGUUUUCGGUUUCGACUUUCCACGUUAACGAGACGCACGUCCGUCAGAGGUCACGUCGGCAAAAAGCUGACUAGGCAAACUCCGGCAGAUCAGGUGGUAUUUUUGUCGUCGGAAAAUUUCUGACUUGACAAUGAGGGUUAAGUUUC